UAGGAUCCAGAUCGACUUAAGGUCGCCGGGACCCGUAGCAAGCCUACUAUGCAUCCUGUAUACUUGAUAAAAUCUCAUACAUGAUCAUACAUUUACAUGAAAACUUUAAUCAUUCCACGAACCAAACCUGACCUGUGCAUGCAUCAUAACUGUAUACAUAAAAUCCACACUAGAGUCCUCAUCAAAUACUCUAGCAUGGUAAACAUCACAUGCCUCAAGUUUAGUUCCAUCAUAACUCAU
rnacentral:lncRNA from 1 species